rnacentral:misc_RNA from 1 species
GCCUUUUCCCUGCAUCCACAUUGUUGUCAUCGAAACUCCACUAACUACAUCUUUCCUUCUCCGCCGGUAAUCAUGCAAGCUAUCCAAUCUUCAUCUCUCCGGCCAUCUCCGGUCGACCCAUUUCUCAAAACCAUACCCCAAUUCACCAAUGUAAAGCCAUUGAAACCCAAAAGAACCCCUUUUAUCUCAGCUUCAUCCACUACAGUUUCAGCUCCAACAAGGGAAAAAGACCCCAAAAAGCGUGUUGUUAUAACUGGGAUGGGUCUUGUUUCUGUGUUUGGGAAUGAUGUUGAUGCUUAUUAUGAUAAGUUAUUAGCUGGUGAAAGUGGGGUUACUCUAAUUGAUCGAUUUGAUGCUUCUAAAUUUCCUACUAGAUUCGGUGGACAAAUUAGAGGAUUUAAAGCUGAUG